rnacentral:rRNA from 1 species
ACAGCUCAGAUUUGAAAUCUGGCCCCCAGGGCCCGAGUUGUAAUCUGUAGAGGAUGCUUCUGGCGAGGCGCCGUCCGAGUUCCCUGGAACGGGACGCCAUAGAGGGUGAGAGCCCCGUACAGGCGGACGCCGAGCCGAUGUGAAGCUCCUUCGACGAGUCGAGUAGUUUGGGAAUGCUGCUCAAAGCGGGAGGUAAAUUUCUUCUAAAGCUAAAUACCGGCCAGAGACCGAUA